CGCGGGGCGCCAAGUGUCGUGAUUAGCGCUUACAAUAAACUAAAAUAAUGUGCCGGGAGCAUUAAUGCCAAAAUGUAUGCACGGGAAAAAAAUUGAUAGUCGGCCCGCCGCAUUUGUGGGACGCCACCCAGCACCUGGGCUUGUGCAACUCUGAAAUCACAGACUCACAGAAUCAGUGAGGUUGGAAAAGAGCUCUGAGACCAUCGAGUCCAACCUGUGGCCGAACACCUCCUUGUCAACCAGACCUCGGCACCAAGUGCCACAUCCAGCCUUUCCUUAAACACCUCGGGGAAGGUGACUCCACCGCCUCCCUGGGCAGCCAUUCCAGUGUCUCUUCGCCCUUUCUGUGAAGGAAUUCCUCCUAAAGUCCAACCUACACCUGUGCUGGCACAACUUUAGACCACCAUGUCCUCUUGUCCUGUCACUUGUCACCAUGGAGAAGAGGCCGAUCCUCGCCUGGCUACAAGCUCUUUUCAGGGAGCUCUAGAGAGAAUAAGCAAUGUCUCUUUCAGGUGUUUAAUUACUGGCUUGUCCCACGCCGGGUAACAAAUCCAAUUUUUCUGGACUAUCCGUGAGGCUCUGGGUGCCUUCCCACACUUUCGCUUCCCCUCCAGCUACAGACCCUUGGGGACAGGACAUGCGGAGGGGACCACUUCUGUCCCAGGGGCACUGGAGAUAUAACAGGUCCUUUGGUUUUGCAGUGCAAGCAUCCAAGGGAAAGGCACAGAUGGGUGUGGGGCCAGGAGAAGUGUGAAUUCAGCAGCUCUAGGAGCCCAGCAGGUGAGGACUCAUCUGCCUGGGCUGGUGCUUACGCAGCUGCAGUGGAAUUAUGUGGAAUGCAGUUUUGCAGUGCAUGGUGUCAAAAAAAAAAGGUUCAGAUUGUCAUGAGCUCUCGCUUUCGACAUAGGAACUAAAUGGUUUAAAUUUGUCAAAAUAGAAAGACCGCUUUCUGAAAGACUUUGCACUUUUUUUUUUUUUUUUUUUUUUUUUUUUAAAACCAAAAUUGGGAGUUGCUGGAUAUUCAGGUGCUGGAAUAACAUAGCUUAAUUGAUGGUCCAUAUGCUCCUGAUGCCAAAAAGCACAAUUCUAGGAUUAUGCUUUGGCAGAGCGAGUGUUUCAGUUCAGAACCUUGAAAAGUUUUCUGAACUGCUUAACAAGAUGUGGGUAAAACUAGGCUGCUCUAACACUCACAUACACACACUUUUCCCCUAAUGCCUGAUGUGGAAUGUUUGAGCUAUAUAGAAGGUUAGGUGAGCUAUUCGCUAGGGCCUUCAGCUUCUUUCUAUCCACCUCUGCCCCCAGUACUUCCUUUUACCAUAUCUUCCUUCAGAUACUAGAACUGUUACAAUCUGGACAUCAAUUAUAUGGUCCAUGUCCCUCUGCUUAGCAUGUAUUUGGGGUAUGUGCUAGUGUUAUGGUUAUUCAUCUUCAUCCUUUAUAAGACAAUGAAGGGGGAAACCCCAAGUAUUUUUAGGGUGUGACUUAUCUAACCUGUAUCAAAUUCAGAAUCACACCUCCUGUGCCUGGGAAAUGCUCUGAUCCCUUACUGAGUGCAAGGAGUCUAGACACCUCAUUUGGAUGACACUUGCUUUGCAGAUGUGUAAUCAGCCUGAGGAAACUCUGUCCUUUGGGGAGCUGUGUUCUCACUGCAAGAUGUUCCAAGUCUUUCUCUUUCCAUGGUAUGGAACAGAUUUAUUUUAAGAGGCCUUAGAUCAGGACAUAAAAGAGUCUGAGUGAAAAUGACAAUAUAAAAAAUAAAAACCUAAGGCACUGGUGUCAUGAGAAAAGUUCCUUGCCCCACAUGGUGUGGGAAAGGAGGAUAGAACAGCAAUUAGACAUAAUUCUAGGUCAUUAAAUUGGGAUGGCACCCAUGCACAGAACUGUGGAAACCACUAAGAGAGAUUAAAAAAACAAGUCACUUAUGCAACAUGACAAAAGACAUUUAAUUAAGCACAGUUUCAGAGGGAUUUUAAGCAGUUUCUUGUGAAGUUGAGGAUUUUUGUUUGCUUUUUUUAAUGUUGAACUUCUCUGCUAACAAGCCUGACAAGAAAGCAUCACACAUCUUUGAAGAAAAGUGGAAAGAACAAAUCUCGCUCUGGACAAGCCAGGAAGGAACUGGGACACCCCAGGACUCUGCACACAGCUUCCCAUGCAGAGGAAACCAAGGCCUGUAUCCACAAAGCAUGACCUCAGGUCCUGGCAUCUUCUCUGCAGCCUCCAGCACACAGACUGCCUCACUCAGCAUUGCCCAGUUCAUUUGACUUAAUUAAAUGCUUGAUUGCAGACUUUGAUUAUCCACCUGCCCAACUUACAAGACAGGCAGAGAUGGAUUUUCUGCUUCCACAUACCCCUCUGAAUUAAGUAAAUGGGAAUCAGUGGAUAGGACAGGGUUAGACUGAGGAGCACAACAGCUGGUGCUGCCCUGAGUGUGAGAGCCUUGCAAACCGGAGGAAAAGGGGUGAUCUUCCCCCUAUUUGACUGUAGAAAUAGAAGUUCUGGGGGUGCAGGCCUUCUGCAUGACUUCUUUGAAGAAUCGGGCCCAAACAACAAAGUUGGCUGACUCUUAGGCCUACAGGUUAGCUUAUCUGGUACACUGUUAUUUCCUUUUAGAGUUUGGGGUUUUGUUUCAGUCUUGGGCUCCUAAAGCACGUUCAGAAGUGGGAAUGCAAGCUGCUUGUGAAUUCAGUCAAAGCAUAGUCAGUCCUUGCAAUUGCAAUUUUGUGUGAGAAAUUGUGUUACCUGUCCAUGUAGGUUAGGUAGCAUAUUUAUUUGUGGCUUGGAUGAGGCAGGAUGGGAUGACCAAUACUAGUGUAUGCUGUUCAUACCUGAGGACAGAAAUUGUUUUAUAUUUUCUUGUACUAAAGCUGCAUGUAGGGAAAGGACUGUCAUUUUGUGCUGUGCCUUUAUAGCAUCUGACCUACAGGAUCCUGGCCCAUGGCCAAAGCCUGUAGGCACCCAACUACCAAUAUGUAACAAUAAUAUAUGGCACUGGCAUAAGCUCAACAUAGUUAAUGGAGAUCCAAGCUUAGUGGCCAGAUUUUAAACAUUACAGGCAAAUAAGCCUGGGGGGUGUCAGUUUGAGUUAGACACAACACCCCACUCUCCCUCCAUACCAGGAAUGAGCUCUUAGGGAGACAAACACUUAAAAAUCCCAACUUUUAUGGAGACUUUGUUCAUUCCACAAAGAAAUCCAGAGAGUACUUGAUAAAAGUACUGACUUCAGUCUCAUAGGUUUUUCAAGAGAAUUACUGAAAAGGGUCUUCCAGCGCUACAGGGAAAGAAUUCAUUUUUCCAAAAGUCAUUAGCAUCCAGCAGCUACUAUAAAUUUGACUGAGAGCUACUGAAUAUUAUAAGUUUUGAAAAUCCGGUUACUGUAUAUCCAAAAUGUGAAGGCUUGGUCUUUAAAAAUUAUGGCCAAAGAAUAUGUGUGUGUGUGUCUAUAUAUAAGUAUAUAUUUUUAAAUGCAUUUUGAGUUACCCAGAGAUAAACAGAAUCAAAAAUUGCUGAUACAUAAAUAUUACUGUAAUGUAAAUAUAUUCACCACUUAACCCUGAUAAAUACUGGAUUACAGACUUCUGAACAGAGACUGACAAUCAUUGGAAACCAUGUGGUCAUCUCAAGUAUACAGUGCCUUGAUUAAAAGAAAACCACAAAAUCCUUUUCCUUUUUUAAAAGUACCAUAUAAUUUAUUUGGUUGGACUCUACAAAUAUACACAUUAUAUCACGCUAGAAGAACUUGAAAACCACUUUUUUCUUGUUCCCAGGGUCUCUUGACUGUUGGUAAGACGUUACAGUCAUAAUGAUAGAAUCAGCUUACAGUUGCAUAUUCUGCCAAAUAGCUCACAAAUUAUAUUUGGCAAACAACAGUGCCUCUGUUUCACAAAGAUAACGAUCAGAUGUUUUGUUUAUGUGGAAAGGAAAAUAUUAUUUUAGAGCUUGUGACAGAAUUUCAAAAACUUUGUGUGGUGCUCUCAACAUCUGAUACAUUUAAAAGUUACCACUCUAUUAAAUACAGAGUAACACAGAUUUUUCAACGGAUCCUUCAAAAA